AGCUAGUUAGUGAGGUAAAGGCUUACCAAGGCGACGAUCUGUAGCGGGUCUGAGAGGAUGAUCCGCCACACUGGAACUGAGACACGGUCCAGACUCCUACGGGAGGCAGCAGUGGGGAAUUUUGGACAAUGGGGGCAACCCUGAUCCAGCCAUGCCGCGUGAGUGAAGAAGGCCUUCGGGUUGUAAAGCUCUUUCGGCCGGGAAGAAAUCGCAUGGGCCAAUACCCUGUGUGGAUGACGGUACCGGAAUAAGAAGCACCGGCUAACUACGUGCCAGCAGCCGCGGUAAUACGUAGGGUGCGAGCGUUAAUCGGAAUUACUGGGCGUAAAGCGUGCGCAGGCGGUUUUGUAAGACAGGCGUGAAAUCCCCGGGCUUAACCUGGGAACUGCGUUUGUGACUGCAAGGCUAGAGUACGGCAGAGGGGGGUGGAAUUCCACGUGUAGCAGUGAAAUGCGUUGAGAUGUGGAGGAACACCAAUGGCGAAGGCAGCCCCCUGGGUCGAUACUGACGCUCAUGCACGAAAGCGUGGGUAGCAAACAGGAUUAGAUACCCUGGUAGUCCACGCCCUAAACUAUGUCAACUAGGUGUUGGGUGGGUAAAGCCAUUUAGUACCGUAGCUAACGCGUGAAGUUGACCGCCUGGGGAGUACGGCCGCAAGGUUAAAACUCAAAGGAAUUGACGGGGACCCGCACAAGCGGUGGAUGAUGUGGAUUAAUUCGAUGCAACGCGAAAAACCUUACCUACCCUUGACAUGCCAGGAACUUGCCAGAGAUGGCUUGGUGCCCGAAAGGGAGCCUGGACACAGGUGCUGCAUGGCUGUCGUCAGCUCGUGUCGUGAGAUGUUGGGUUAAGUCCCGCAACGAGCGCAACCCUUGUCGUUAAUUGCCAUCAUUUAGUUGGGCACUUUAACGAGACUGCCGGUGACAAACCGGAGGAAGGUGGGGAUGACGUCAAGUCCUCAUGGCCCUUAUGGGUAGGGCUUCACACGUCAUACAAUGGUCGGUACAAAGGGUUGCCAAGCCGCGAGGCGGAGCCAAUCCCAGAAAGCCGAUCGUAGUCCGGAUUGCAGGCUGCAACUCGCCUGCAUGAAGUCGGAAUCGCUAGUAAUCGUGGAUCAGCAUGUCACGGUGAAUACGUUCCCGGGUCUUGUACACACCGCCCGUCACACCAUGGGAGCGGGUUCCGCUAGAAGUAGGUAGCCUAACCGCAAGGGGGGCGCUUACCACGGCGGGGUUCGUGACUGGGGUGAAGUCGUAACAAGGUAGCCGUAGGGGAACCUGCGGCUG
rnacentral:rRNA from 1 species